UCAACCUAGCUAGUAAUUCAUCAAAAAUGAAAGCAUUAUAUCUCAUAGUAUGCAUUUUCUUGGCUUCCUCUCUCUUUAUUCCCACUUCCACCAUGGCUCGACAACUGGUCGAGAAGGGUAUCCCUAAUAAGCUUCCCGCUGUACGUAUUCAAUGUGGCCGCAAUGCUCCUUACAAAACCUGCAUCCCUGGACAUAGACCCGGAAAGCCUAUUGUGUGCCCCGAUCCUUCCAGGACUAAUUGCCAUCAUGGUGCACCUUGAAUGGAGGAAAACUAUGGAUUUAUUAGCAAACAAUGUAAUGAAAAUAGCUAAUAAGUUGCCAACUGCUGUGUCGUUGGUUUAGAAACAUGAAAUUUAAGUUGCCCAUCAUUUGUAUCAUGAAUUCUACUUUGUCUACAACGUAAUGCAUUUUUAUAGGUAUGUUAUAAAUAAAAAGCUAGUGACUACUUCGACUUUGUUAUAAA